rnacentral:rRNA from 1 species
AGAGUUUGAUCAUGGCUCAGAGCGAACGUUAGCGGCGCGCUUAACACAUGCAAGUCGCACGAGAAAGGGCUUCGGCCCCGGUACAGUGGCGCACGGGUGAGUAACACGUGGGUGACCUUCCCUCGAGUGGUGGAUAACCUGCCGAAAGGCGGGCUAAUACAGCGUACGAUCCUCGCGUUUCGGCGCGGGGAUGAAAGCAGGCCUCUGUAUACACGCUUGCGCUCGAGGAUGGGCCCGCGUCCCAUCAGCUAGUUGGCGAGGUAACGGCUCACCAAGGCGACGACGGGUAGCUGGUCUGAGAGGAUGGCCAGCCACACUGGAACUGAGACACGGUCCAGACUCCUACGGGAGGCAGCAGUGGGGAAUCUUGCGCAAUGGACGAAAGUCUGACGCAGCGACGCCGCGUGGGCGACGAAGGCCUUCGGGUUGUAAAGCCCUGUGGGGCGGGACGAACACGGGAGACUCAAAUAGGGUUUCUCGCUGACGGUACCGCCUUAGCAAGCACCGGCUAACUCUGUGCCAGCAGCCGCGGUAAGACAGAGGGUGCAAACGUUGCUCGGAAUUACUGGGCGUAAAGCGCGUGUAGGCGGUGCCGCACGUCCGAUGUGAAAGCCCGGGGCUCAACCCCGGACGUGCAUUGGAUACGACGGCGCUGGAGUCCUGAAGAGGAGGGCGGAAUUCCCGGUGUAGAGGUGAAAUUCGUAGAUAUCGGGAGGAACACCAGUGGCGAAGGCGGCUCUCUGGACAGGUACUGACGCUGAGACGCGAAAGCGUGGGUAGCAAACAGGAUUAGAUACCCUGNUAGUCCACGCCGUAAACGAUGAGCACUGGGUGUCGCGGGUAUUGACCCCCGCGGUGCCGAAGCCAGCGCGUUAAGUGCUCCGCCU